AGUCUUUCUCGUUGUUGGGUGAAUCUUUAUCCGUGGUCUGAAGAGAGCCCAGUGGGCUUGUGUGAGCAGCUGGGGUCUGACGGGCACGUGACCCACACUGUGCUCCCAGCUUGGCCACUAGAUGAGCUCUGCCCUGGCCCAGAUUAGCAAACCUCGGCUUCACAGUGGAGAGAGGGCAGGAGUCAGAUGGGAAGGCCCUCAAUGCGCUUUAGAACGGCCUUCGACCUCAGCUCUUGACCCUCACUGGGAGAGCAGAGCACCACCUUCUCCGUCUUGGAAGUGGUUUUCCCAAAUUUGAGUAGUGGAUCCAGGUCAAUCGCGCAAACAACAUAAAGAAAACGAGUAGAAUACAGAUCCAAGAGCCAGAAAAAUAGCCAACCUGUCUUACGUGGGUUAUUUUUCUGUUUCCCUAUGGAUGAUGUUAGUAGAUUUGCACACAACUGUCCUUUAUGGUCAGAAAACCUAAUUCCUCUGCAGUUUGGGUCCCAGGCCUGAGGGGGCCCUCAUGAGAAAGGAGUGGGGGGCAUUUUGGUGGUGCACCUGCAGACCGAGGACGUCCUUCUGGGUGAUCUGGGGCCCGCAGCCUGUGCCGUCCUGUCGGAGGCUCCCUGGGAUCUCUCCCCAGAGCCGCACAGGCCUGGUGCUGUGCACCCUGAGGCUGGUGUCUUCGCCUGCCUGGGAGUUCCCCAGGAAGCCACAGGGUGGGUCUCCAGGCACCUGUGGCAGUGUCCAUGCCCUCCUGUCCAGAUGGAAAGGCUGUGGGGUAGAAUUCCUCCUGGGACAUGGCCGUGGCUGUCAGUGCCGUAGGCGGUUAUUGUAUUUCCUCACUUUGGUGUCGAGGAGAGAAGUCCCCAAAUGUCUAACUUAUUUCUGUAAAAAAAUUAACAUAAGAAAAACGUGUUGCUUUCUGGCAUUGUGUUUCAGCUCCUGAUCAGAAAACGACGUCACGGAGAAGCACAGUGACCUGUGUGAAGGGUCCUUGUUUUCUCAGUUUUAAUUUGAAGAAACACACUGAAAC
rnacentral:lncRNA from 1 species